ACAGACUUCAUAGGAUCAAUUCUAUAGUAAACGUCCUCUUCUGAGCUCUUCACACGAGCCACAGAAUCCUCAACCUGGCUGACGAGACAAAGCCCUCGGCACCCUAGAGUGAAGCCUUAUGUUACUUUCGACGGUCUCGUCGGUCUGUGAAUCUCGGGGCAACCUGGGAUUCCGGGCCGGCGAGCAGAGAGUGGUGAUGAUCUUUGACCUGCGUCUUGGGGACUGGCUUCGUGCCGCUCAGCGUGGGAGGUGCCGACGGGCUGAUUCUGACAGGC
rnacentral:snoRNA from 1 species